rnacentral:rRNA from 1 species
UACGUAGGGGGCAAGCGUUGUCCGGAUUUAUUGGGCGUAAAGAGCUCGUAGGUGGUUCGGUAAGUCGGACGUGAAAUCCCCAGGCUCAACCUGGGAACUGCGUCCGAUACUGGAUGGCUUGAAUCCGGGAGAGGGAUGCAGAAUUCCAGGUGUAGCGGUGAAAUGCGUAGAUAUCUGGAGGAAUACCGGUGGCGAAGGCGGCAUCCUGGACCGGCAUUGACGCUGAGGAGCGAAAGCCAGGGGAGCAAACGGG